AUGAAGACCAUUUUUGUUCUUGCAUGCUGUAGCUAUCGCUACCGCCUCGGCCAUUCCGGAUUUUCUGCCCUGAAGGAUGACUUCCAGGAGUUUGUCGAUCUCGUUCCCGUAGACAAACUGGUCAACGUUGCUCUGCAAUAUCUCGUCAGCGAUAAGGAGUUCAAGGAAUUCUUCGGAUACCUACAGGGAGAGGAAUUCUCCGCCGUUUGGGAUCAGUUCUUCGCUCUGAAUGAAGUCAAGGAUGUGCUGAACUACCUGGAGGCUGCAGAUCUGGCUGUGUACGAUGCGUUGAACACGGUUGCUGAUUUCCUUGGACUGCACCAUGUUAAGCCAACCGUCCAUAGCUUGAGAACUGGAGGAUUGACCGGAUUCUUCGACGAAACGGUUGCUUUAUUGCCUCUGGAUAAAUUUGAAGCGCUGUUUGAAGAGAAACUGAAGACCAGCCCCGAGUUCAAGGCUUUCUUCGAGAAGCUACGCAACCUGGAUUACCAGAAGUUUGUCGAUUUUCACAAUAACUCCAAGGAAGUCCAAGGCUAUCUGCAGAAGCUGCGAAGCUACGGACUCGAUGUGGAUGGCUUCUUCAAUCUCGUUGCCGGUUUCUUCGGCUGGGGAAAAUUCUAGAAUU